UACGUAGGGGGCAAGCGUUGUCCGGAUUCAUUGGGCGUAAAGAGCGUGUAGGCGGCCAGGUAGGUCGGUUGUGAAAACUGGAGGCUCAACCUUCAGAGGUCGACCGAAACCAUCUGGCUAGAGUCCGGGAGAGGAGAGUGGAAUUCCGGUGUAGCGGUGAAAUGCGUAGAUAUCGGAAGGAACAUCAGUGGCGAAAGCGACUUCCUGGACCAAUACUGACGCUCAUGUGCGAAAGCGUGGGGAGCAAACAGG
rnacentral:rRNA from 1 species